rnacentral:rRNA from 1 species
UACGGAGGGUGCGAGCGUUGUCCGGAAUCACUGGGCGUAAAGGGCGCGUAGGCGGCCCGGCAAGUCUGUGGUGAAAUCUCUGGGCUCAACUCAGAGUCUGCCAUAGAAACUGUAGUGCUAGAGUGUGGGAGAGGUGAGUGGAAUUCCCGGUGUAGCGGUGAAAUGCGUAGAUAUCCGCAGGAACAUCCGAGGCGAAAGCGGCUUGCUGGAUCGCAACUGACGCUGAGGGACGAAAGCUAGGGGAGCAAACAGG